rnacentral:rRNA from 1 species
AUUGAACGCUGGCGGCAGGCUUAACACAUGCAAGUCGAACGAGUGGCGGACGGGUGAGUAAUGCAUGGGAAUCUAGCUUAUGGAGGGGGAUAACUACGGGAAAAUGUAGCUAAUACCGCGUACCAUAGGAGGAGCCCAAGUGGGAUGAGGUAGGUGGUGGGGUAAAGGCUCACAAAGCCUACUAUCUAUAGCUGGUCUGAGAGGAGGAACAGCCCAACUGGGCGUGGGACCCGGCCAGGUCGCCUACGGGAGCAAGCCGUGGGGAAUAUUGCGCAGUGGGGGCAAUCUGACGCAGCCAUGCCGCGUGAAUGAAGAGGGCAUUCGGGUUUUAAGGUUCGUUCGGUAGCGAGGCGUUAACUACAGAAGAAGCACCGGCUAACUACGUGCCAGCCGCCGCGGUAAUUC